UUUGAUGGCACUAUCCUCCUGAUCACCCUACUGGUUUUGUUUCUGUUGUUGGCUGUGUUGUUCAUGUGGUGGUUCUGGCCGCUUUGCUGCACUGUAGUGAUCAAAGAACCUCCUCCUCCUCCACCACCAGAGCCGGAGUCAGAUGAUGAAGAUGGAAUGCCAAAGAAGAAAUGGCCAACAGUAGAUGCAUCAUAUUAUGGAGGUCGAGGAGUUGGAGGAAUUAAAAGAAUGGAAGUGGGUAUUUCUUCACAAGAACAACAAAACUAGCUUGAUGUAUUUUACAAUGACAAUGAAUACAAGGGAUAGGCUACUUUACCCAAAAAAUGAAAAUUCUGUCAUCAAAUUCUGUCCAAAUGUGUAUACGUUUCUUUGUUCUGAUGAACACAGAGAAAGAUAUUUGGAAGAAUGCUUAUAACCAAACAGAUCUUGCCCCCCAUUGACCCCCAUAGUAGGAACAAUUUAUUUUUACUUGUUUUUAAGACAUUUUGAAGAAUGUAGGACAGCAAACAGUUCUGGGGCACUUUUGACUACCAGUGUAUUUUUUCCUACUAUGGGAGUCAAUG